rnacentral:sRNA from 1 species
CAAAAAAAAACUAAAAAACUAAAA